rnacentral:rRNA from 1 species
UAUCUGCAGUGGGCGUUGGAAGUUUGACGGGGGCUGCUCCUAGUACGAGAGGACCGGAGUGGACGAACCUCUGGUGUACCGGUUGUGACGCCAGUCGCAUCGCCGGGUAGCUAAGUUCGGAAGAGAUAACCGCUGAAAGCAUCUAAGCGGGAAACUUGCCUGAAGAUGAGACUUCCCUGGACCCUUGAGGUCCCUGAAGAGUCGUUCGAGACCAGGACGUUGAUAGGUCGGGUGUGGAAGCGCUGUGAGGCGUGAAGCUAACCGAUACUAAUUGCUCGUGAGGCUUGACUC